rnacentral:rRNA from 1 species
GGUGACCUCGAUCAGUAGAUGCCAU